AUGAUUCCAGAAUCACAUGAAAGAAUUGGAAAAUCAGAUAUCUGUGUUAGCCUUAAGUUAGUUUUGAUACGUUUAAAAAGUAAACCAUUAUUAUAUGAUAAUAAAAAAAAAGCUGCUUCAUAUGAAUUUUAAUAAUCAUCUUUAUUGAUUAUUAAAAAUGAAUAUUUGUGUUUGUUAUAAAACAAGUUAUAUUUCUUACUCUAAUCAUCAUGAUUUUUUAAAUAUUUUAUGUGCAAUAUUUGUUUGUAUGUAUAUAGAAAAGC
rnacentral:lncRNA from 1 species